AUACUCUGGUUUCUCUUCAGAUCGUAUAAAUCUUUCGCCUUUUACUAAAGAUUUCCGUGGAGAGAAACAUUUAUGAGUUUGUAACCAAUUUUUUGAGGCUCUAAAAUUGGGCCG
ensembl:snRNA U5 U5 spliceosomal RNA